CUCCCGCCCCGCUGUGGUUGCGGCGCCGCGAAGCUCCGCCCGGGAAAGUGCGGGCCUCCCGUCCGGCUGGAGGCCGGGCGCCCCCUGCGUGACCCGGCGUGGCCUGGAGACGCGGAAGACGCGCCCCCGUUGUGGCGGCCUCGGACUGCUGUUAGCGCUCACACCUUUGAUUGAACACCUAAUGAUGUGUCAAGGGACGUGCCGGGUACAAACGUCAGGAGACGAGCUCUCGGACCUCCAAGAGUUUGCAGUUUAGUUGGAAACAAUGACAAAAGCUGCAGAAUGGCAAGAAUACACGAUUUGUGUUUUUAGAAAUUCAAUCUGGCAGCACCACCCGAUCCCCGCCCCCUUCUCGACCCACAUUUCUGCGUGUCUCAAGGCUUUACAAAAAGGAUUUUGAGGGUGACAGUCCUAGAGAUCUAAUUACAGCGAGGAGUACUAAGUAUCAGGAAGAUUAGAGGUGGCAAGGGCCUGCAAGAGGAAAUAUGGACAGAGCAAAGGAGACAUGUGGAGAAAGCUCUUCCCUCAACUCUCAACUCUGGGACUCAGCUAUGUAGUCAUCCAUAUGCCUACCUCUACCUGUACAUUUAUCUAUUCAUAUAUCAUGGUUAUGGAAGUCUGUUUCAUAGACUUGUGCACGUACUUAUGAAUAACAUACUGAGGAAGAGAAAGAAUGAAAAAAAAGAAAAAAUAAAGCUAUCAGAGGAACAGCCACAGGAAGUGUACAUAGACACACCUUAACACAGAUUUGUAGUUACUGCCGCAGCUCAUUCUUUUCACCUGGUCUGUGAUAAUUUAAAUGUUUUUCCUUUGCCCCUGGAACAAAGUGAAGCUUUGUCAGUAGACAGCACAGGAGAGACAUCUUAGGCUGAAAGGCACAUGCUCAUUCCAGGGAUAAGUGUGGGCAACCUUUUCAGUGCCCAGUUCCUACAGCGCAGGUGCAAGUAUCAAGGAACCCACAG